rnacentral:rRNA from 1 species
UACAGAGGUCUCAAGCGUUUGUUCGGAUUCAUUGGGCGUAAAGGGCGCGUAGGCUGCGGGGCAAGUCGGGUGUGAAAUCUCAGAGCUCAACUCUGAAACUGCACUCGAUACUGCCUUGCUUGAGGACUGGAGAGGAGAUUGGAAUUCACGGGUGUAGCAGUGAAAAUGCGUAGAUAUCGUGAGGAAGACCAGUGGCGAAGGCGGAUCUCUGGACAGUUUCCUGACGUGAGGCGCGAAGGCCAGGGGGAGCAAAACGGGG